rnacentral:lncRNA from 1 species
CUUUUAUCAAUUGCUGCAAGUAUCUUCUUUCAGUGUGUGGCUUCCUUUUUCACUCCGUUUGUUGUUUUUUUAAUCGAAGUAUAAGUUCUUAAUUUUAACGCAUUUGAACUGUCAUUUUCCACCACGGCCCGAGUCGCGGAGCCCGCCUUCCUGGCCAGAGCGCUGCGUGGUCACAGCUGGGGUCUGGGGAGCAGAGGCUGCGGGCGCUCCCGGGGGUUGGGGGGGAGAGCUGGGCGAUUUCGGCGGGGGGAGGUGCCGCUCGAGGGGCCGCCAGGCUGCGCGAGGAAGGAGGGCCUGGAGGCCGCGGGGGUCCUCGGCGCAGACUGGAGCCGCAGGCACCGCGCGCAGCCCCCGUCCGCCUCGCCGAGGCCCCGCGGGCCCAGGAGCGCGAGGUCUGGCGCCCAGGACCAGAGGGGGUCGGCGGGAGCAGGCGCCGCCUCCAAAGGACGCCCUCGCCCUCCCGCAGGCGCUGGCUCCAGACCCUGACCAGCCAGCUGGGAGCUGAGCCGGGGUAGGGCCGGGCAGCCCAGAGGAUCAGAACGGGGUUUUCUCCCGGGGUUGGGGGUUCUUUGGCCAGCGCCGCCCUCCCCCGCCGGGGCCGCCCACCCGCAAGCCCCGCCCCGAAGGCUGGAGCUUCCCUGGGGAUGGGCGAAGCCGAGGCCACGCCCUGAAGGCGGGAGCGGCUUUGGGGCGGGACCUGGCAGCCCUCAGGGCUCCAGCGCCAAGUUCAGAGCCACGCGCUGCUCUUGGCCGGGAGGAGGCUGUGCUGCCCCAGCACCUCUUGCUCCACAUCUCCAGAGAGCCCAGUGAAGAAAACACCAAGGUCACCCUCUUUAUAGAUCAGAAAACAGAGGCCUGGAGAGGACCCACACCUUGCCCAAGGUCACAGGUUGGAGAGAGCAGAGCUGACCCUGGAGCCCGUGCACUUAACAUCUAUGUGGAUGGAAGACUCCAAGGUUACCUGAGACAACCUGGUUAAGGUAUAGACAGGGCCCUGUGGCCGAGUGUGUCCAGCCCAGUGUCACAGGGAGCUUCCACAUCUCAUGGCUCCUUGCUGGGCCAAGCCCUCCAGAACCCCAAACCCGCAAAGACUGAUGGCUGCCAGAGUGGCCACCUUGCUUAUCCUGUGG